AUUCUGAUGGCCGAUAAUAAGCGAUAGAUUGUAAAUCUAUUUAUAACUAGUAAUAGUUUCAGGAAG
rnacentral:tRNA from 1 species